GACGAACGCUGGCGGCGUGCUUAACACAUGCAAGUCGAACGGUAAGGCCCCUUCGGGGGUACACGAGUGGCGAACGGGUGAGUAACGCGUGGGUAAUCUGCCCUGCACUUCGGGAUAAGCCUGGGAAACCGGGUCUAAUACCGGAUAUGAACUCCUGCCGCAUGGUGGGGGUUGGAAAGUUUUUCGGUGCAGGAUGAGCCCGCGGCCUAUCAGCUUGUUGGUGGGGUAAUGGCCUACCAAGGCGACGACGGGUAGCCGGCCUGAGAGGGUGAUUGGCCACACUGGGACUGAGACACGGCCCAGACUCCUACGGGAGGCAGCAGUGGGGAAUAUUGCACAAUGGGCGAAAGCCUGAUGCAGCGACGCCGCGUGGGGGAUGACGGUCUUCGGAUUGUAAACCCCUUUCAGUAGGGACGAAGCGCAAGUGACGGUACCUGCAGAAGAAGCACCGGCUAACUACGUGCCAGCCGCCGCAGUAAAAC
rnacentral:rRNA from 1 species